GAUGAACGCUGACAGAAUGCUUAACACAUGCAAGUCUUUGGCGAAUCUGUGCUUGCACCGGCUAGCCAAGGCGGACGGGUGAGUAACGCGUAAAGAACUUGCCCUGCAGACAGGGAUAACAGACGGAAACGACUGAUAACACCUGAUACAGUUGCCGGCACGCAUGUGCCUGGCAAUGAAAAGAGAUGCUGCAGGAGAGCUUUGCGUCCUAUUAGCUUGUUGGUGAGGUGACGGCUCACCAAGGCGACGAUAGGUAGCCGGCCUGAGAGGGUGAACGGCCACAAGGGGACUGAGAUACGGCCCUUACUCCUACGGGAGGCAGCAGUGGGGAAUAUUGGACAAUGGGGGCAACCCUGAUCCAGCAAUUCUGUGUGCACGAAGAAGGUUUUCGGAUUGUAAAGUGCUUUCAGCAGGGAAGAAGAAAGUGACGGUACCUGCAGAAGAAGCGACGGCUAAAUACGUG
rnacentral:rRNA from 1 species